rnacentral:lncRNA from 1 species
ACCAAAUGACCAAACGGUAAAUUGACAAAUCAAUAAAAUGACUAACCUAAAAUUGUUUGGACCAUUUUGAAGCAGCCUAAUUUAAUUAGUGCUGCUCAUAGCCCGUUUCCAAUUAUUUGGACGGUUAAUAAAUGGAAACCCACUUAAUAGCCCAUUUAUUUGGUUAUUGGGCCUUGAACCAUUACUAUACCCUAAUUCCCCCACUUAACUUGGUCGUCCCCUUCACUUGGAUAUAUGAAUUCAUUCUCUGCCUCUCUUCUCGAGGUGUGUGUGUGUUUGUGUUUGAAAACGGGUGACUUUCUCUUUGUGUCUCUGCCUACUGUUUUCAUUCACUCUAUUGCCUGUGUGGUUACUUCAUCAUUGUGAUUAUAACUUCCUUUGUGAUUUCUAAGUGGGUGAACAAAAAGCAACUGUAAGUGAAGGAGUGGUUGAAGGGAGUUUGGAUUGUUUUUCAAAGUGGUGUCGAUUAUUGGAGGAACUGAGCCCGAAAAACACCUAGGUGAUCUCUUUCGUACAACAAUCAUCAAUGUCAAAUUGAUGGCGUAAGUAUUAGGACCGAGCACUUGUUGCUUUAAAAGAGAAAGGAAGUAUUUUCUGAAGCACAUGUGAUAAUUUGGCCUUUUUGAAGAUUUUGGCCUUUAUGAAAGUUUUGGGAGAGAUGGGACAAAGAUUGAUGGUGGAGAAGGCAUUCAUGGUGGUGGUGGAUGAAGAAAAUGGACAUAUGGUGUGGUUGCGGUAAUGGUAGAUUUGGGAAUGGGAGAGAAAUUGAUAGGUGAGUAAUAGAUACAUGAAAGUUAUUGAGGAGAGAAGAGUAUAUAUUUUAUUAUUAUUAUUAUUAUAAUUUAACACCUGAU